GAUGAACGCUGGCGGCGUGCCUAAUACAUGCAAGUCGAGCGAACGGACGAGAAGCUUGCUUCUCUGAUGUUAGCGGCGGACGGGUGAGUAACACGUGGAUAACCUACCUAUAAGACUGGGAUAACUUCGGGAAACCGGAGCUAAUACCGGAUAAUAUUUUGAACCGCAUGGUUCAAAAGUGAAAGACGGUCUUGCUGUCACUUAUAGAUGGAUCCGCGCUGCAUUAGCUAGUUGGUAAGGUAACGGCUUACCAAGGCAGCGAUGCAUAGCCGACCUGAGAGGGUGAUCGGCCACACUGGAACUGAGACACGGUCCAGACUCCUACGGGAGGCAGCAGUAGGGAAUCUUCCGCAAUGGGCGAAAGCCUGACGGAGCAACGCCGCGUGAGUGAUGAAGGUCUUCGGACCGUAAAACUCUGUUAUUAGGGAAGAACAUAUGUGUAAGUAACUGUGCACAUCUUGACGGUACCUAAUCAGAAAGCCACGGCUAACUACGUG
rnacentral:rRNA from 1 species